rnacentral:lncRNA from 1 species
UCAAUAUUCACUACACCAUUGAAGAUUAAUGGACAAAAACAAUAAUGUAGGGGUUCCUUUUCCUAGUGGGUUCAUCAAACUUAAACUUAAAUCCUCAAAUAUUGUCAUAUGGUCAUCUUAUCUUUCACUAUAAACAAUAAAGAUUAUUUACAAAAAAAAUAUAUGCAUAGAAUAAUAAGUACAGUAAAAUCACCAAUAAUGAG